AUGGGCGCUGGGAUGCAUGAGGGGCCGUACGGGGGAGUGCCUGGGCACCGCGUGCUUCAAGCCCUCACAUUCCCAGGGCCAAAGGGGGUCCUCUCACAUCUUCCAGAUGACAAUGCGCCGCGGCUCUACGUCAACCUGCGGCGGCCGCCGACUCAUUUGGGGCCACGCUGGUUGCAUUCGUCACGCCGGGACGCCUCUCAAACCCGCGGCCUGCCGAGCACGUUCCACAAGGGCGACCCUGGCGACGCGGGCGCGUCUGUGGCUCUGCAGAACCAGGCCGCGGAGCCCCCGCGAGGGCAGGCAGGGAACUGGCGACUGCGGGGGCGGACGGCUGGGGCUUGUAGUCCCCUCGCGACCCUCUGGAAAAGGCGGGCCGCGGUCGCCGAACUCCAGCUCUGCGCCUGCCCAGGCGGCCGCGCGCUCAAGGGCGUGGCGCGGGCAGGUCGAUCUCUAUGAAACACCAGAACUAUCAGUGAAGAAUAUAUUAAAUGGGUUACAGACUACUGUAAAGCAUAUUUCUAUCGCUUGAGAGUAAAACUGCUAGAACCAGUUCCUGUUUGUACAACAAGGUGUUCCUUUAGAGUCAGUGAGAACACACAAAACCUACAAAUUCAUGCAGGGGACAUCCUGAAGUUCUUGAAAAAGAAGAAACCUGAAGAUGGCUUCUGUGUUGUGGCAAUAACAAUGACUGAUCUUUACCCAAGAGACUCGUGGAAUUUUGUCUUUGGACAGGCCGCUUUGACAGAUGGUGUGGGGAUAUUCAGCUUUGCCAGGUAUGGCAGUGAUUUUUAUAGCAUGUGCUAUGAAGGCAAAGUGAAGAAGCUCAAGAAAACAUCUUCAAGUGACUGUUCAAUUUUUGACAACUAUUAUAUUCCAGAAAUAACUAGUGUUUUAUUACUUCGAUCCUGUAAGACUUUAACCCAUGAGAUUGGACACAUAUUUGGACUGCGACACUGCUAGUGGCUUGCAUGCCUAGUGCAAGGCUCCAACCACUUGGAAGAAGCUGACCGGCAUCCUCUAAACCUUUGCCCUAUCUGUUUGCACAAGUUGCAGUGUGCUAUUGGCUUCAGCAUUGUAGAAAGAUAUAAAGCACUGGUGAGGUGGAUUGACGGUGAAUCUUCCGGCACACCUGGAGCAACUCCAGAACACAGUCGCGAAGAUAAUGGGAAUUUACCGAAACCCGUGGAAGCCUUUAAGGAAUGGAAAGAGUGGGUAAUAAAAUGCCUGGCUGUUCUCCAAAAAUAAGGACCUUCAAAUAGGAGUGAUUGAAAUAAAUGACUACUUACAUGUUAUGCUUUCAUUUGGGUGGAAUACUUCAUCGGAAUAAACUACUGAUCUUGUGCUGUGUCAAAGUAACAGACUAGAACCUUCUUUCAAGUACCUGAAUUGAAAUGAAACUCAUUUUAAAUAAUAAAAACUCUAGAAACUCUUUAUCUUCUCAUCUUACUGGCCUGGUCUGUAGCAGCAAGCACAUUAUUUCCAUUCCCCAAAUAUG